AUACGGAGGAUCCGAGCGUUAUCCGGAUUUAUUGGGUUUAAAGGGUGCGCAGGCGGCCAUUUAAGUCAGCGGUUAAAUCGUGGGGCUCAACCCCAUUCUGCCGUUGAUACUGGGUGGCUUGAUUGCGGUCGAGGUUGGCGGAAUUCGUUGUGUAGCGGUGAAAUGCAUAGAUAUGACGAAGAACACCGAUUGCGUAGGCAGCUGACCAGACCGCAAAUGACGCUCAUGCACGAAAGUGCGGGGACCGAACAGGAUUAGAUACCCUGGUAGUCCGCACAGUAAACGAUGAAUACUUGUUUUCGGCGAUAUAAUGUCGGAGGCAAAGCGAAAGCGAUAAGUAUUCCACCUGGGGAGUACGCCGGCAACGGUGAAACUCAAAUGAAUUGACGGGG
rnacentral:rRNA from 1 species